rnacentral:rRNA from 1 species
CCUACGGGUGGCAGCAGUGAGGAAUAUUGGUCAAUGGACGAGAGUCUGAACCAGCCAAGUAGCGUGAAGGAUGACUGCCCUAUGGGUUGUAAACUUCUUUUAUAUGGGAAUAAACUGUUCCACGUGUGGGUUUUUGUAUGUACCAUAUGAAUAAGGAUCGGCUAACUCCGUGCCAGCAGCCGCGGUAAUACGGAGGAUCCGAGCGUUAUCCGGAUUUAUUGGGUUUAAAGGGAGCGUAGGUGGAUUGUUAAGUCAGUUGUGAAAGUUUGCGGCUCAACCGUAAAAUUGCAGUUGAGACUGGCAGUCUUGAGUACAGUAGAGGUGGGCGGAAUUCGUGGUGUAGCGGUGAAAUGCUUAGAUAUCACGAAGAACUCCGAUUGCGAAGGCAGCUCACUGGACUGCAACUGACACUGAGGCUCGAAAGUGUGGGUAUCAAACAGGAUUAGAUACCCCUGUAGUC